rnacentral:rRNA from 1 species
ACAGGUACGGGCUCUGAGAGGAGAAGCCCGGAGAUGGGUACUGAGACACGGACCCAGGCCCUAUGGGGCGCAGCAGGCGAGAAACCUUUGCAAUGUGCGCAAGCACGACAAGGUUAAUCCGAGUGUUUCCUGCUAAAGGAAUCUUUUGUUAGUCUUAAAAUCACUAUUGAAUAAGGGGUGGGCAAGUUCUGGUGUCAGCCGCCGCGGUAAAACCAGCACCUCAAGUGGUCAGGAGGAUUAUUGGGCCUAAAGCAUCCGUAGCCUGCUCUGUAAGUUUCCGGUUAAAUCCAUUAGCUCAACUAAUGGCCUGCCGGAAAUACUGCAGAGCUAGGAAGUGGGAGAGGUAGACGGUACUCGGUAGGAAGGGGUAAAAUCCUUUGAUCUAUUGAUGACCACCUGUGGCGAAGGCGGUCUACCAGAACACGUUCGACGGCGAGGGAUGAAAGCUGGGGGAGCAAACCGGAUUAGAUACCCGGGUAGUCCCAGCUGUAAACGAUGCAGACUCGGUGAUGCCCUGGCUUGUGGCCAGUGCAGUGCCGCAGGGAAGCCGUUAAGUUUGCCGCCUGGGAAGUACGUACGCAAGUAUGAAACUUAAAGGAAUUGG